GGAAUCCCGUCUGGGUAAGCGUUAGCCGCGCGCCCAGUAUCGAGUGUUGCAGGCUUCGUAUAGGCACCAUGAGCUGAAGUCGAAGUUUGAAGCGUACACAGAAAGGUAAUGAGGAUGAAGCGCUCGUAGGUGGCCCUGCGACGUUGAAUGGAUUUUAGCCCCGAAAUUUGGUAACUGUUGGAUCCUGCCCAAGGUUUGUGCAUCCCUGAAGGCAACAUCGCUUGCAGCGUCAUUCGGCGAGCAGCAAGCGGAGACCCGGGGUCGGCGGCCC
rnacentral:ncRNA from 1 species